AGUGGGGCUGGAGCAGUUUUUCAGAAAAUUUAUGGCCGUGCCCGUACAAUCGAGAGGACUGGUGAGCAUUUGGGAGUCUCCCAGAUAAGACGGGAGAUUUGUCAAAUGGGUCCCGUGACAGCAUGCCAACGACGAAGUUGCCAAGACGUUUCAGUGGUGAUGAUUCUGCAUUAUCAUCAGCAAGGACAGCACGAUCCUUCGAGCCCUCCUCCUCCUGGGUUACCAAGAAGUGAAUGCACAUGAAUCGCUAGAGUUGCAUUGCCGGAUGGAACAAGCCAUCUUUAUCACAAAUUCCCAAAGACCGGCUGCCUGCUGAAAUUAAUGUAACGGCCACGCCCACCAGAGUGAUAUGCAGCGACUUUCCACCAGAGACUACUGCUCAAAUACAGGGCUGCCGAUCAGCGAGACUUCACUUGGCAGUGAGAAAGCGACGCAAUCAUCUAAAAGGUUGUUCUUGCCAUUCUGCAGGUUUGAACCUUGUUUCUGUUAUCAUACUGCCUCGUUUGGCUCAUUGUGCUCUGCUGCUGCAGCUGGCAAGCCUUUUUUGCACCGUUUUUGAACCAUGCUGAGUGAAAUUGACAAACUGAGAGACAAGUUGUGAAAGGAAUUCAAAAAGGAGAUCGCAACUAUCUGCAGUGCUCUUGAGAGGGACAUGAGAAAGGAAUCAAAGAACAUGGCCAGAACUGUAGAGUACUGCAGCCAGCAGUUCGACGACAUUGCAGCUGAAAUCGCCGCCCUAAAGGAAGAGAACAAAGCCCUGAGAAAUGAAAAUGUUGCUUUGGGUACCGACCGAGAUGCAUUAAAGAAAGCUGUUUGGAACUGGAACAACACUUCCUGACCUUGAGCAAUAUGUUAUAAAUAGAAAUAUUGAGAUCAAGGGGAUUCAAGUGGUUGACAAGGAAGACUUAAUGACAGUACUGCAAAAAAAAAAAAAGGAGCGAUGCACGAGGGGUGUUCAUGAAGUUCAUAUUAUCGGCAUGA